rnacentral:rRNA from 1 species
AGUGAACGCUGGCGGUAGGCCUAACACAUGCAAGUCGAACGGCAGCACAGUAAGAGCUUGCACUUACGGGUGGCGAGUGGCGGACGGGUGAGGAAUACAUCGGAAUCUACUUUUUCGUGGGGGAUAACGUAGGGAAACUUACGCUAAUACCGCAUACGACCUACGGGUGAAAGCAGGGGAUCUUCGGACCUUGCGCGAUUGAAUGAGCCGAUGUCGGAUUAGCUAGUUGGCGGGGUAAAGGCCCACCAAGGCGACGAUCCGUAGCUGGUCUGAGAGGAUGAUCAGCCACACUGGAACUGAGACACGGUCCAGACUCCUACGGGAGGCAGCAGUGGGGAAUAUUGGACAAUGGGCGCAAGCCUGAUCCAGCCAUACCGCGUGGGUGAAGAGGGCCUUCGGGUUGUAAAGCCCUUUUGUUGGGAAAGAAAAGCAGCAGGUUAAUACCCCGCUGUUCUGACGGUACCCAAAGAAUAAGCACCGGCUAACUUCGU